rnacentral:lncRNA from 1 species
UUAAUUUUAAAAAAAUACUAAUAUAUAUAAUUAUAUUAUUGUAAUGAGUUGUCAAAUUAUUAUUUUUUAUUUUUCCAUUUUUUUAAACUACAACCCUCAAGUCAACAUAACAUAGUGGAAUUGUUAUUAUCGGCAUGUAUUAUUUUGGUAUAUCACCAUCGUAAUUUUAUUACGAUCAAUUUCUCCAAUAAUUAAAUUAUGCAGGGUCCACUUUCGAAUAAUCAUGGCCAUUAUUUUAAAAUUUUAUAUGCCAAGCAAAACGUCACCAAGUUUUAUUUUUGGGUACAUUUUGAAAUAUAUUUUGAUGAAGAUGUAGAAGUAUUAUUUGUAAUUUUAUAGAAAGAAAAGCUUUUGACUACACCCAAAAGCCCCAUUAGUUGUUUAUGCAAUAGUUUAAGAUGGAGGUUUCAUCCCAAAAAUAUUUAAAUCUGUGAAAGUUCAGAAAGGAGGAGAUAGGAAUGCUCAAAAGUUGAUUAUUAUUAGUUUGGAAAUCCGAUAAUGGUUACUGGUUAAGUGGGGGAGGCACUAAAUUAUUAUUUGGUGCACGACGGACACACCAAAAGCCUUCGUGGGCUCACAAUCAAAGGCAACAGAGGAGACAUAAAUUGAAUCUUAUGGCCCACAGGCAAUGAAAUUAUGAGCAGAUUAAACCAACUCAACUCAAAGCCAAGGACCUAUCUCAACUUUCCCACACAAACUGCAUCACCAACUCAUCUCUCUCCACUACAAUAUUAUACAUUUUCCUUUUCUUUUGCUUACAAACACAAUUACCCAUUCUUAAUUGAGUUACAAAUCCCACUCACAUCUCAAACACUAACUGUUACCAAGUAACUUUGUUUCUAUUUAUAACACACCAAUAUAUACUAUAAUAACAUGUCAUAAAAAAAAACAAAUUACUCAAGCAAAUUAUUCCCUGCAUGCAUGUUGUUCAUUCAUCAUCUAAAAUUGUAAUCUCUUGCGUUCAAUAAAAAACACAAAAAGAAAAAGUAUUGCAUAAUCCAAAAGUAAACAUAUUUACAAUCUCAACUAAUUUCUGCAUCUAAUGUAACCAUUAAUAGUUCUGACCGACAUGUCAUAAUUUUUGUAACCACGCAGCUUCAAAGUGUAAAAAGAUCACAUGCAGAUUAAAUAGGGAGAGUUAAAGAAGAGAAAGGAGGGACAGACACACCUA